UAGGGAAUCUUCCACAAUGGACGCAAGUCUGAUGGAGCAACGCCGCGUGAGUGAAGAAGGUUUUCGGACCGUAAAGCUCUGUUGUUGGUGAAGAAGGAUAGAGGUAGUAACUGGCCUUUAUUUGACGGUAAUCAACCAGAAAGUCACGGCUAACUACGUGCCAGCAGCCGCGGUAAUACGUAGGUGGCAAGCGUUGUCCGGAUUUAUUGGGCGUAAAGCGAGCGCAGGCGGAAGAAUAAGUCUGAUGUGAAAGCCCUCGGCUUAACCGAGGAAUUGCAUCGGAAACUGUUUUCUUGAGUGCAGAAGAGGAGAGUAGAACUCCAUGUGUAGCGGUGGAAUGCGUAGAUAUAUGGAAGAAUACCAGUGGCGAAGGCGGCUCUCUGGUCUGCAACUGACGCUGAGGCCCGAAAGCAUGGGUAGCGAACAGGAUUAGAUACCCUGGUAGUCCAUGCCGUAAACGAUGAGUGCUAAGUGUUGGGAGGCUUCCGCCUCUCAGUGCUGCAGCUAACGCAUUAAGCACUCCGCCUGGGGGAGUACGACCGCAAGGUUGAAAC
rnacentral:rRNA from 1 species